GAUGAACGCUAGCGGCAGGCCUAACACAUGCAAGUCGAGGGAGAGGUUAUCUUCGGGUAACCAAAACCGGCGCACGGGUGCGUAACGCGUAUACAAUCUGUCUUUCACAUAGGGAUAGCCCGAAGAAAUUUGGAUUAAUACCUAAUGGUAUAUAAGAGCGGCAUCGUUUUUAUAUUAAAGCUACGGUGGUGAAAGAUGAGUAUGCGUUCUAUUAGCUAGUUGGAGAGGUAACGGCUCCCCAAGGUGACGAUAGAUAGGGGUUCUGAGAGGGAUGUCCCCCACACUGGUACUGAGAUACGGACCAGACUCCUACGGGAGGCAGCAGUGAGGAAUAUUGGACAAUGGUCGGAAGACUGAUCCAGCCAUGCCGCGUGCAGGAUGAAGGUCCUAUGGAUUGUAAACUGCUUUUGUAAGGGAAGAAUAAGGGGUACGUGUACUUUGAUGACGGUACCUUACGAAUAAGCAUCGGCUAACUCCGUGCCAGCAGCCGCGGUAAUACGGAGGAUGCGAGCGUUAUCCGGAAUCAUUGGGUUUAAAGGGUCCGUAGGCGGGCUGAUAAGUCAGAGGUGAAAGCGCUUAGCUCAACUAAGCAACUGCCUUUGAAACUGUCAGUCUUGAAUGAUUGUGAAGUAGUUGGAAUGUGUAGUGUAGCGGUGAAAUGCUUAGAUAUUACACAGAACACCGAUAGCGAAGGCAUAUUACUAACAAUUUAUUGACGCUGAUGGACGAAAGCGUGGGGAGCGAACAGG
rnacentral:rRNA from 1 species